AUCCUGUGCUUGCUUGCACUGUGAAGGCAAGGUACGUGCUGAGGCAAAAGCAGAAGGUGCAGAAGAGUGCUGGGCUCUGACUCUUUUGGAAAUGUAACUACUGGAAACACUGCUAACCAAAAUGAGCCUCUCUCUUCCCUGGGCUGCCCUAAUCCAUCCCAGAAACUCUCCAUUUGUUUUAGGAUUCAUCGUAUCCUCCAAAGGUUUCCUCCUCUAAUUCAUGUCAUCUUUGAAUUUUUGGACGUGAACUUCAUCAAGCUGGUUUUCAUCUAUCUCUCCGAAUGUCUUCCAUAUUGGGAGUAUCAGAGGGCAGUUGUAAUUCCCAGAUUGAAAGAAAAGAUAAAGUAGCAUUAAUACUAAUAACACGGCAGUCCACAUACUGCAUCAUGAUCAUUUUCACAGCCUCUAUACAGAUGUUCAAAAAAAGAAGUGAUCAGCAUUGAACGCUGUUGUAUAUCACAUCUGGGAACCCUUAAUGAAGGAAAAGUCAUCCACUACCAUCUGGGAACACUUAGUGAGGAAUUAGUGAAACCACACCAAGGCAUUUCUCUCUCUGAGCCAGGUUAUGCAGCUGUGUCAGGGAUUUCGCAUGCUCCACGAUGUCAAAGGCCACCAGAGCUUAGAGUCAUCUGAUGGAGUCCAAGAUGAACUACAUCAGCAUGGAUUAAAAGCAAGAGUGCAACCAGCAAACACUAAGGCCCACAGCAGAUUUUGCCUUUUAACAUUUGUGACAUGAGGAUUUCCCACUAAGCUUUGGAUGGAUUCCCAGGCAUGAGGCUUAGAAAUACAAUCUGCUAACUCUGACAACUCUGUUGCAGAGAGGAAGCAAACCAGGUUCUAAACAAGCGUUGGAACAUACGCAGGUAUAUACAUCUUUGGGCUCCUUGGGAGGAAAAAGCACGGUACCUUUGUUUUAUGAGACUUGGCAAGAUGUAUAAGUAACAAUAUUGAUUUCAAAGGAUUGUAAAUACUUACCCAUUACAUUUACACAACCCAGUUUUCACCACGUUACUCAAUAUUUUAUUGGUGAUUUUACAAAGAUAUCCUUUAUCUGACCUUUUUCUCUAUUUUAAUACCAGAUUGUCAGAAAUGAAGGGUUUCAUUAUAGACAUUAGUAUUUACCGGUAAUUCUGAAACAAUUACCUUAAAUUAUUAUUUCCCUUUAAACUAUCUUUCAUUUUUAACUGACUGUCUUUUAUGUAAAAAGACAGUGAAACUGCCUAUCUAUAUUAAGGCAACACCUUUAUGGCAUUAUUCAGGGGCUGGGGAAAGUUGCUGCAGCAACAGCACAAGUUAUAUAACGCUCCAUUCAAUGCAAGAUGAGUAAGCUAGUUUGGAGGGGGCUGCAAUCCCAAACUCUCUGUUGCUGUCAGUUUCUCACCCUGUUUGCAAAGUAUGAUACAUUUUAUAAUAUGUUUUUAGAGUUCUCUAUACGGAGUCAUUCAGACUUACUAUGC
rnacentral:lncRNA from 1 species